rnacentral:lncRNA from 1 species
AAAAAAAAUGCUGCAUGUCACGCCUAUUCUACUUUGUUUAAAAUUUCCAUAAUAUACCAACAUGGGAUUUUUUUCAAACAGAGUUGGUGAAUGUGUAGCACUACAGAACUAAACCUACUUUACAUGUUGGUCCAGUCACGCCAGCUGCCUGUGCUUUGCCCGGAAGUAAUGUCUCCCAUGCGCGAGAGUUUGGAGACGCCAAAAGGCUGCAAAGAAACUUCAGGUAUGGACUGUGGUAAAACUACCCUGCAUUGAUGCCCUCUUGGGAGCUAAUGCCAACCAGCAGCCAUUUUGUUUCUCCCUGCGGGACAUUAGCCCAGGGAUCACACCACUGCUGUGGCAGACACUGUCUGGGGCCAACCGUCAAGCAUCUGACACUCAGCGCAGGAGAUAAAGUAACGAGGGACGUGACGUUGAUUUGACACCCGGUGACUGACAGAAAGGAGCGAGAAAAAUCAGAAGAGGAUGUCUUCCUUAAUUGACCCCCCAUAAACGUAACGGACAUAUACCAGGAGCUGUGCCAGGCCCGCCACGUCUGUUGACUCAUCCAGCUGUAACGCAUAGAAUUCACUGGCUUGUAUGCGAAGCAGUAAUUCUUUCAAAACAUCUCCUGUCAUGUCACUGAUGCGUCGUGAAACAGUGUUGUUUGAUGAAGGCAUUAUCUGUGUAGUUUUUUUGGCCUUUUCCCCCAGCAUUCCCCCAGCCAUAUCCACGGCAGCAGGAAUAAUUAAGUCCUCCACAAUAGUAUGGGGCUUGCCUGUCCUAGCCACUCAGUAGCUCACCAUAUAAGACUCUUCUAGCCCCUUCUUAUUAAUGGUAUAUGUUGCUUUUAUACAUGUCUUACUACUCGAAAGUUGUCUUAAUUCUCGCUCAAAAAACUCCUGUGGAUUAUUUUUCAAAUUGGCAUGUUUUGUUUCUAAAUGUCUGCGCAAGAGUGAAGGUUUCAUUGAGUUGUGAGAUAGUACUUUUGCACAUAUAACACACUGUGGCUGAGGAUUGGCACUACUCCCAAUAUAAGUGAACCCCAAAUCAAUGGAGUUCUCAUCAUAUUUGCGCCUCUUCGAUGGUCCAACGUCCCUGUCUGUUGUUUGGUGCCUUCCCGGGUAAGGGGGCAGUAGCUCUUCGGCUGCAUCAGAAUCACAACUGUCAGUGUCCAUG